ACGAACGCUGGCGGCGUGCUUCACACAUGCAAGUCGAACGGAAAGGCCCUGCUUUUGUGGGGUGCUCGAGUGGCGAACGGGUGAGUAACACGUGAGUAACCUGCCCUUGACGUUGGGAUAACUUCAGGAAACUGGGGCUAAUACCGGAUAGGAGCUCCUGCUGCAUGGUGGGGGUUGGAAAGUUUCGGCGGUUGGGGAUGGACUCGCGGCUUAUCAGCUUGUUGGUGGGGUAGUGGCUUACCAAGGCUUUGACGGGUAGCCGGCCUGAGAGGGUGACCGGCCACAUUGGGACUGAGAUACGGCCCAGACUCCUACGGGAGGCAGCAGUGGGGAAUAUUGCACAAUGGGCGGAAGCCUGAUGCAGCAACGCCGCGUGCGGGAUGACGGCCUUCGGGUUGUAAACCGCUUUCGCCUGUGACGAAGCGUGAGUGACGGUAAUGGGUAAAGAAGCACCGGCUAACUACGUG
rnacentral:rRNA from 1 species